ensembl:lncRNA
GACCGGAAGUGGGCGGGACUUGACAAAGGGGAGACGAGCUGUGAUAGGGCAGCGGGACCGGAAGUGGAUGGACCACGUGAUCGGGAUACGGAAGAUAAAGCGGAAGUGUGUGUGAGGUGGGGGCGGCCAUCUUGGAAAGCGGAGGGUCAAUGGGAGGGGGGAGGGUCAUGCUCAUGAAUAUUAAUGAUUUAUUCAAAUCGAAGGGGCGUGAUCAUGCAAAUAGAGCAGCCUGGCUGCAGCCAAUGGGAUUGAAGGGGGUUGGGAGUGGGCGGGGCUUCCUUUUGGCCACGCCCCCCCCCCACCCCCCCCAGGUCGCAGUGAUUUGAAGUGAUUUGAUUGGCGGAUCCAACCGACUCUCCUCGACCAAUCAGAGGCGUCGCUGCCGUUACUUCGGCCAAUCAGAACGCGAGCCCGGCCCGCAGUCCAAUCAGAAGCAUCGUGGCGUCGUUUGGCCAAUCAGAAGCGGGGUGUCCGUGAUUUCAGCCAAUCAGAACUCAGUCUUCGUCGAAGGUCAGGGUGCGACGCAGGCGCCCCAUUGAUGUGGGGCUGGGGGGAGACAUGGGGCAGCUAUGGGGCAGAUAUGGGGCAGGGUUAUAGGGCAGGAUCUAUGGGGCAGCUAUGGGGCAGAUAUGGGGCAGGGUUAUAGGGCAGAUCUAUGGGGCAGCUAUGGGGCAGAACGGGGCCGCUAUGGGGCAGAUGUGGGGCAGGGUUAUAGGGCAGGAUCUAUGGGGCAGCUAUGGGGCAGAUAUGGGGCAGGGUUAUAGGGCAGGAUCUAUGGGGCAGCUAUGGGGCAGAACGGGGCUGCUAUGGGGCAGCUAUGGGGCAGGGUUAUAGGGCAGAUCUAUGGGGCAGCUAUGGGGCAGAUGUGGGGCAGCUAUGGGAGCGCUAUGGGGUAUCUAUGGGGCAGCUAUGGGGCAGUUAUGGGGCAGAUGUGGGGUGUCUAUGGGGCUCUAUGGGUCUCUAUGGGGCAGCUAUGGGGUAUCUAUGGGGCAGCUAUGGGGUAUCUAUGGGGUGUCUAUGGGGCUCUAUGGGGUGUCUAUGGGUCUCUAUGGGGCUCUAUGGGUGUCUAUGGGGUGUCUAUGGGGCUCUAUGGGGUGUCUAUGGGGCUCUAUGGAGUCUCUAUAGGGUCUAUGGGGUGUCUAUGGGGAUCUAUGGGUGUCUAUGGGGUUCUAUGGGGCUCUAUGGGGUCUCUAUGGGGCUCUAUGGGGUGUCUAUGGGGCUCUAUGGGUGUCUAUGGGGCUCUAUGGGGUGUCUAUGGGGCUCUAUGGGUGUCUAUGGGGGCUCUAUGGGGUGUCUAUGGGGUUUAUGGGACUCUAGUAGGGCUUCGGUAGGGCUCGUAUGGGGUACUAUGGGAUUCUUUGGGGCCUCUAUGGGCUCUAUGGAGUUCUAUGGGGCAUAUGGGGCUCUAUGGGGUGUCUAUGGGGUUCUAUGGGACUCUAUAGGGCUCGGUAGGGCUCUAUGGGGUAUCUAUGGGAUUCUUUGGGGCUCUAUGGGGUCUCUAUGGGGCUCUAUGGAGUUCUCCGGGGCUCUUAAUGGGGCAUAUGGGUCUCUAUGGGGGUGUCUAGGGGUUUCUAUGGGACUCUAUACGGGCUCGGUAAGGGAUCUAUGGGGUAAUCUAUGGUGAUUCUUUGGGGCUCUUAUGGGGUCUCUUUGGCUCUAUGGGCCUCUAUGGGGUCUCUAGGGCUUUAUAGGUCUCUAUGGGGUUCUCGUAUGGGGUUGCUAUGGACGCUUUAUGUC